rnacentral:tRNA from 1 species
UCGGCGGUAGCUCAGAGGUAGAGCCCCAACCGGUAAUUAGUACGUAGCGGGCUCGACUCCCGUUCGCGGAA